UGGGGAAUAUUGGACAAUGGGCGCAAGCCUGAUCCAGCAAUGCCGCGUGUGUGAAGAAGGCCUUCGGGUUGUAAAGCACUUUUAUCAGGAGCGAAACGCUGUCGGCUAAUACCCGGCGGAACUGACGGUACCUGAGGAAUAAGCACCGGCUAACUUCGUGCCAGCAGCCGCGGUAAUACGAAGGGUGCAAGCGUUAAUCGGAAUUACUGGGCGUAAAGCGUGCGUAGGCGGUUUCUUAAGUCUGCUGUGAAAUCCCCGGGCUCAACCUGGGAAUGGCAGUGGAUACUGGGAGGCUAGAGUGUGUCAGAGGGUGGUGGAAUUCCCGGUGUAGCGGUGAAAUGCGUAGAGAUCGGGAGGAACAUCAGUGACGAAGGCGGCCACCUGGGACAACACUGACGCUGAGGCACGAAAGCGUGGGGAGCAAACAGGAUUAGAUACCCUGGUAGUCCACGCCCUAAAGCGAUGCGAACUGGAUGUUGGUCUCAACUCGGAGAUCAGUGUCGAAGCUAACGCGUUAAGUUCGCCGCCUGGGGAGUACGGUCGCAAGACUGAAACUCAAAUGAAUUGAC
rnacentral:rRNA from 1 species